AUCGCUUCUCGGCCUUUUGGCUAAGAUCAAGUGUAGUAUCUCUUCUUAUCAGUUUAAGAACUGAUAAUUGUAAAGAUAUGUUAUCAGAAACAUCACAUUUAUUGUUUCACUUAAUCAUC
rnacentral:snRNA from 1 species